rnacentral:lncRNA from 13 species
UGCUGCACCCUCUGGCCCAUUUCUACAAGUCUGUAUUCAUACAUCUGCCUUUCCUUUAGCUGCUCUUCCUCUGCUCUCUCUCUCUGUCUCCCUGUCUCUGUCUGUCUCUCUCUCUCUCUCUCUNNNNNNNNNNNNNNNNNNNNNNNNNNNNNNNNGAGGGUGUGUCUGUUACUGAGGCAGAGGGUGUGUCUGUUACAGAGGGUGUCUGUUACAGAGGCAGAGGGUGUGUCUGUUACAGAGGCAGAGGGUGUGUCUGUUACAGAGGCAGAGGGUGUGUCUGUUACAGAGGCAGAGGGUGUGUCUGUUACAGAGGGUGUGUCUGUUACAGAGGGUGUGUCUGUUACAGAGGCAGAGGGUGUGUCUGUUACAGAGGCAGAGGGUGUGUCUGUUACAGAGGGUGUGUCUGUUACAGAGGGUGUGUCUGUUACAGAGGGUGUAUUGUGGGUAUUCUUUUGCCCCAUCUGUUGGCCAGAAGAGGAAGUAGAGUCAGAUGUUUCUGUGUGGAGAGUGUAGAGUCAGAUGUUUCUGUGUGGAGAGUGUUCGUUAGACAACAGUAGUCUGUCUUUCCUGCCCCUUCCUGUCUCCUCCACACAGAAACACACCAGGAAAUCUGGUCCUAAAAAACAUAGGAAUCUAGUUCUGAAAGUCCAGUCCUCACGGCUCCCUUAGACAUUCCAGAUAUGUAUUCUAUUCAAACCCAGUCCUCACGGCUCCCUUAGACAUUCCAGAUAUGUAUUCUAAUCAAACCCAGUCCUCACGGCUCCCUUAGACAUUCCAGAUAUGUAUUCUAUUCAAACUCAUUCCUCACGGCUCCCUUAGACAUUCCAGAUAUGUAUUCUAUUCAAACCCAGUCCUCACGGCUCCCUUAGACAUACCAGAUAUGUAAUUCUAUUCCAACCCAGUCCUCACGGCUCCCUUAGACAUUCCAGAUAUGUAUUCUAUUCCAA